GCAGCACAGCGCAGCGCUCCUGGAGAGGCUGUGGGUUCGUGGCAUCCGCGCCGCGGCCGCAAGUAUAGCAGGUUUCGUACCUGGUGUUCAUCGCCGUUAAGUCAUCGCUGCUGCCACCCAGGCACGGCUCUCUAUGCCGCCGCUCCCUCCACCCUCUAGGCACUGCCUGCCGUAAGAAUUUUAACUGCGACACUCGCUUCAGCAGGAGAUUUUAUUGGCUGCAGACACACGCAGCAUCUUCUUGCGCUCCUCCUUGAGGUGGAUGGGCAGCUAGCUGGAGAUGACACAGGAUGAUGCGCAUCUUUCGCACGCUGGCUCCAAGAUCUCCGCUGCCAGAUGCAGCAACAAAGCUUCUUUGUACAGACAGCCCUGGACACACUUCCAGCAGCAAUUCUUCUUGCAGGAACUGGUGCAAGAACAGGAUUUAUUCGUGGCACAGGAGCAGUUGGUGUCCACUGGGAGUGGAGGCAGAAGAGAGACCAGAGCGGGUAUGUUAGGAGAGAAAGCAGUGACUUCAACAGAAGUGGAGUAAAUAAAGAUGAUCACAGAACUUGGAAGCUGACGAAAUUAAUUUUGGAAAAGAGCUGGCUUGGAGCAUGACAGAAGAAUUCGAUGGAAAGAGUGCUGGGAGCCCAACUCAAGACUGAUGUGUGCUUGGCAGGCAGUCUACCCCCGAUCUCAGUCCUCCAGCCUUUCGGCCUUUUUUCCUUUUUGGAGACAGAAUUGCAUCAUAUGGCAUCCUACACAGUCCUGCCUCAGUCUCUGCAGUGCUGGGAUUGUAGGCCUAUGCCACCUAGCCUUUCUACAAUACAAACAAAUAUGAAAAGAAGAGGGACUUCUUUGGAAAGGAGUACAGGGACUAUGGAAGAGAUGAAAAGAUAAUAUUGUCAGAAAUUAUGCCGCUUUUGAAGAGAUAAACUGAACUCUUGAUUCUGUGAGGUUAUUAAAGAAUAUUAAUUUUCAAAUCACGGUAAAAUCUUGAUUCAGCAACACAUGAGGAUAAUCAUUGUGUCCAUGGAAACCUUGGGAAGCAGUUGAAAGCCUGGGUUGGAAGGAACAGAGCCAGUUGGCCAUGGACUGAAACUUUUGGAACUGAUUCUGAGGAGUUAAUGUUUCCAUGAAUAUCUCAGAAGGAGAUGUGGACAAACGAACAGUUAUCUCACUCCUGUAGCUGGCUGAGCUUUUUAAAGAUGGCUAUUCUGAAUUCUUCACAGAUGGCACAGUGUCAGAAUCGUGUGUGGCCUCCUGCUGCCUGAACCAUGCCGCUAAGACAGUUGCCCACUGUGCAGCUUCACACCAUCUGCAGAGAGCAACACUGCAGAGCCUUUGGGAGAGCCUUGCCAGUCGCUGAAAGCCUGGCUGACUGCCAAGCCUUGCACUGUAGACUGAAAAUUGCUCUCUUUGCUGAGCUCAGUACUAACACUUAGAUCUUCAUGGUCUCCUGGGAGACCAUGUCAGCUGCUGUUCAGUGAGAUAAAUUUGGAUCAGCUGAAGAUAUGCACUCUCUAUGCCUUCCUUGACUGUCAGCUAAACAGUGUGCACUCCUGGCUUAGUACAGCCUUGGCUGCUGAGAGCCCCAUUCCUCCCCUGUGCUCUUCAUUGUCCUCAUGAUCUGGCUUUCAUCAUCCAUUAUACUCCUAACACUGGGAGUGAAGUGUCAUUGAAGAAUGUUCAUCAGGCACUACCUCAAAGGGCUGGAGAUGAUUGGUGAAUGCUUUGAUUCUUCAUUCCUCCUAGGACACAUAUCAAGCCCCCAGAAUUUCUCUCUAUCCAGUUGCACCAGUGUGAGGAACUUGACGGUGUCAGGAAAGUGAAACUGCUUCUCUGCUCCAUAUAAAUGUCUGUGCAGAUGCAAAGCCAUGCAUUACAUGGUAGCUCACCUUUAAUCCUAGCACUCAGGAGACAGAGGCAGGAGGAUCUCUCCGAGCUCAAGGCCAGCCUGGUCUUCACAGUGAGUUCCAGGACAGCCAAGGCUACACAGGAAUCCUGUGUACAGGUCCUUGGUAUUGCACUCCUCUCUAUAAACACAACUUGCUUUUAGAAUGUGUGGUUGUUAAGUUGUUCUGUGAAGGAUGGAUAAAGGCUAGCUCACUACUACACCCGUCAGCUUGCUCCUGUCACUUCUUCUCACCUUUGAGCACUUAGCAUCCCUCUCCGUGUUGUCUUUGCUGAAAUGCUUGCUAAGGCGAAGCUCCUCUGUAGCUGUCCUCUAGCCCCAGCCAAGAUUCUUUCAAGAUUUUUCUUUGGCCUUCUGUAAUUUGAAUAUGAUGAAUGUUUUUAUUUACUACUUCAUUUUGUAUUUUGAAUCUUUUUUAAACCAUGCCAGGUUCUCUAGGCUCCUGGUUCUGAUAUGAAUUGAGCGAUUAUCUUAGGCCCUUGUGUUUCAAAUCUUUCUUUCUUUCUUUCUUUCUUUCUUCCUUCCUUCCUUCUUUUCUUUUCUUUUCUUUUCUUUUUUUUUUUUGAGACAGGGUUUCUCUGUAUAGCUCUGGCUGUCCUGUAACUCACCCGGUAGAUCAGGCUGUCCUUGAACUCAGAAAUCCGCCUGCCUCUGCCUCCCAAGUGCUGGAAUUAAAGUCAUGUGCCACCACUGCCCGGCUUACUCAAAUAUUUCCUUUUUUUUUUCAGUCCUCUCUAGUGAUCUCAUUAUACAUGUGUAUAUUCUCUAGUUGUCCCAGUUAUAUGAUGUUCUUCUCUCUCUCUCUCUCUUCCCCCCACCCUGUGUGUGUGUGCGCGUGCAUGCGCGCGUGCAUGUACCCAAGGAAACUAGAAAAGGACUUCAACUCCUUGACGAAGGAGGUACAAGCAUUUGUCAGCCACCUGAUACAGGUAGCAGAAUCUAAACUCUGAUCCACAUUAUUAAGCAGCAAGUGCUGUUACCUGCUAAACUAUCUCGCUGAAAUUUAUCUCUUAGAAAGUUUCUAAUAUAUUAUCACUGUCAGGGAUUCUUUGGCUUGGUUCAGUCUGCUAAUAAGCUUAGGAAAGGCAAUUUUCAUUUUGUUGCAAUAUUUUUGAUCUGUAGCUUUUGUUGUUAUUCUUGUUCAUUUUUCAAACCAGGGUUUCUCCACGGCUAUACUGGAACUCUCUGUAGACUAGGCUGGCCUCAAACUCUCAAAUAUCUCACUGCCUCUGCCUCCCAUGUUCUGGGAUUAUAUCCCUCCACUGCCCAACAGCAUUUAUUUUAUUCUUAAGAUUUGUUUUUCCCUGCUCGUUUGUUUGUUUGUCUGUUUGUUUGGUAUGGUCAUUUGUUUGUUUGUUUUGAUGUAUUUGAACUUGCUAUCUUUAUGUGAGGAUAAGCCUAAGUGUGUAAUAUUUCUGUACUCAUCUCCCAAAUGCUGAAAUGUAGACACGAACCACCACACACUAGGUUUGUUUGGUUUUCUUUUGCAUGCAUUUAUUGUAUUGUGUACAGUACUGGUACCAAAGGAGUCCAUCACAUUCUCUAGAACUUGAAUUACAGAUGGUUGUGAGUUGUCACAUGGUGCUGAGAAUUAAACUUGAUCUUCUUCUUUUUUAAAUUUAAAUUUCUUCACUUACAUUUAAAAUGCUAUCUGAAAAGUCCCCCAUUACCCCCCCCCCUCACUCCCCUACCUACCCACUCCCACUACUUGGCCCCGGUGUUCCCUGUACUGGGGCAUAUAAAGUUUGCAAGACCAAGGAGCCUCUCUUCCCAAUGAUGGCCGACUAGGCCAUCUUCUACAUAUGCAACUAGAGACACAAGCUCUGGGGUACUGGUUAGUUCAUAAUGUUAUUCCACCUAUAGGGUUGCAGACCCCUUCAGCUCCUUGGGUACUUGCUCUAGCUCCUCCAUUGGGGACCCUGUGUUCUAAACUUGAUCUUCUGAAGAGUAACCACUAUUGAUUUUAACUGCUAAGUCAUGUCUCCAGUCCCAAAAGAGGUUUUUUUGUUUGUUUGUUUUUCAUUACUGUGAUGAUCCUAUAAUGAAGAAGAGAAUGCUGGUGGUUUGUUUAUGUGUUUGUUUGUUUUUUGAGACAGGGUUUCACUGUGUGUCCUUGGCUGCCCUGGAAUUUAAGCAUCAGACUGGCCUUGAUCUCACAGAGAUCUGCCUACUUUUGCGCUGAGAUUAAAGGUCUGCACUAACACCUCCCAGCCAGAUGUCUCUUUAACAGACUGACUUUACUUCCUCACGAGUAUUAUGAUGGUUUCUUCCUGUCCUGUGAGGAAUGCUAUUGAUUUGGGGUUUGGUUUGUGGAAUUUUUGUUUUCUGGUUUUUUGUAAUUUUUCCCCCCUAAAUAUCAUGCUGUCUUAUUCUUUGGU
rnacentral:lncRNA from 1 species